rnacentral:rRNA from 1 species
GUGCGUCUCUAGCUAUGUUGAGACGCGGCAUACGGCUCAGUAACACGUGGUUAACCUACCCUCAGGACGGGGACAAACCCGGGAAACUGGGGCUAAUACCAGAUAGGCGAGGACGCCUGGAAUGGUUCUUCACCCAAAGGGCUUUGGAAACAUGCUUUUCAAAGUCGCCUGGGGAUGGGGCCGCGUCCGAUCAGGUUGUUGGUGAGGUAAUGGCUCACCAAGCCUAUAACCGGUACGGGCCGUGAGAGCGGUAGCCCGGAGAUGGGCACUGAUACAAGGGCCCAGGCCCUACGGGGCGCAGCAGUCGCGAAAACUCCGCAAUGCACGAAAGUGUGACGGGGCUACCCCGAGUGCCGUCCGCCGAGGAUGGCUUUUCCUCGGUGUAACUAGCCGGGGGAAUAAGGAGAGGGCAAGACUGGUGUCAGCCGCCGCGGUAAUACCAGCUCUCCGAGUUGUAGGGAUGAUUAUUGGGCUUAAAGCGUCCGUAGCUGGCUUNAGCAGUCUCCUGUUAAAUUCAGCGACCUAAUCGUUAA